AAUUUACUUACUUAAUAUUUGUAUUGGCGUCAUUCAGAAAUGCAGGUAUUAUUUAAAUAUUUUUAUCGAAUUAUUGGAAUGUCCUCUCAUAACCAACACAAAAAACACAAGUUCAAUGUGUACAGGUUAUCCGAGAGUUUUAAUCUAAAAAAAAAAAUAAGGCUAAAA